rnacentral:rRNA from 2 species
UUGAGCGAUGAAGAUUGGUGCUUGCACCAAUUUGAAGAGCAGCGAACGGGUGAGUAACGCGUGGGGAAUCUGCCUUUGAGCGGGGGACAACAUUUGGAAACGAAUGCUAAUACCGCAUAAUAACUUUAAACAUAAGUUUUAAGUUUGAAAGAUGCAAUUGCAUCACUCAAAGAUGAUCCCGCGUUGUAUUAGCUAGUUGGUGAGGUAAAGGCUCACCAAGGCGAUGAUACAUAGCCGACCUGAGAGGGUGAUCGGCCACAUUGGGACUGAGACACGGCCCAAACUCCUACGGGAGGCAGCAGUAGGGAAUCUUCGGCAAUGGACGAAAGUCUGACCGAGCAACGCCGCGUGAGUGAAGAAGGUUUUCGGAUCGUAAAACUCUGUUGGUAGAGAAGAACGUUGGUGAGAGUGGAAAGCUCAUCAAGUGACGGUAACUACCCAGAAAGGGACGGCUAACUACGUGCCAGCAGCCGCGGUAAUACGUAGGUCCCGAGCGUUGUCCGGAUUUAUUGGGCGUAAAGCGAGCGCAGGUGGUUUAUUAAGUCUGGUGUAAAAGGCAGUGGCUCAACCAUUGUAUGCAUUGGAAACUGGUAGACUUGAGUGCA